GAUUCUGGCUCAGAACGAACGCUGGCGGCAGGCUUAACACAUGCAAGUCGAACGCUCCGCAAGGAGAGUGGCAGACGGGUGAGUAACACGUGGGAACGUACCCUUUACUACGGAACAACUCCGGGAAACUGGAGCUAAUACCGUAUGUGCCCUUCGGGGGAAAGAUUUAUCGGUAAAGGAUCGGCCCGCGUUGGAUUAGCUAGUUGGUGGGGUAAAGGCCUACCAAGGCGACGAUCCAUAGCUGGUCUGAGAGGAUGAUCAGCCACAUUGGGACUGAGACACGGCCCAAACUCCUACGGGAGGCAGCAGUGGGGAAUAUUGGACAAUGGGCGCAAGCCUGAUCCCAGCCAUGCCGCGUGUGUGAUGAAGGCCUUAGGGUUGUAAAGCACUUUCACCGGAGAAGAUAAUGACGGUAUCCGGAGAAGAAGCCCCGGCUAACUUCGUGCCAGCAGCGGC
rnacentral:rRNA from 1 species